rnacentral:rRNA from 1 species
CCUACGGGCGGCAGCAGUGAGGAAUAUUGGUCAAUGGCCGGAAGGCUGAACCAGCCAUGCCGCGUGCAGGUCAGUGCCCUAUGGGCGUUAAACUUCCUUUGUGCGGGAGCAAUAAUGGUCACGUGUGGCCAGACGAGAGUUCCGUACGAAUAAGCAUCGGCUAACUCCGUGCCAGCAGCCGCGGUAAUACGGGGGAUGCAAGCGUUAUCCGGAUUUAAUGGGUUUUAAGGGUGCGUAGGCUGUGUGGUAAGUCAGCGGUGAAAUGCCCCGGCUCAACGGGGGGCAGUGCCAUUGAUACUGCCGUGCUAGAAUGCGGAUGCGGUAGGAGGAAUGUGUAGUGUAGCGGUGAAAUGCAUAGAGAUCACACAGAACACCGAUUGCGAAGGCAGCUCACGAAUCCGCGAUUGACGCUGAGGCACGAAAGCGUGGGUAGCAAACAGGAUUAGAUACCCCUGUAGUC